rnacentral:lncRNA from 1 species
AAAGUUAGAUUUUAUCCUCUAGGUCAGUUUGGGGUUUUAAAAUAACAAUUAUUUAAUUUCCUCUGUUUAUGGAUAUUUAGCCAGUGGGUGACCAAACACUUCAAACAGCCUCAGCCAGGCUGAUCCCAGCUUCUCACUGGCCAGAUAGCCUCUGGCUGAACAGCAACUCAGCACUCAGCCAGUGCCAAGGACUUCCCUUCAUACUCAUUACCACACUCGCAGCCACUGCCCACCUUGCUGUACAGUCUGCAGUGCAAAAACUGGGUCUGGGAUUCAAAAACUGUGUUGGCAACAGCUGGGUGAUUCAGCAAAUAUAGUUUUUUUCUACAGCUAUACUAUACAGCCAAUAUAGUUUUUUUUCUACAGCUAUACUAUACAGCCAAUAUAGUUUUUUUGACAGUUUUUUCUUUUCUGCACCUACUUUAAAGAGCGGCACUGGCCAAAUUGAGUUGGUUGUGCUGCCAUUACCUGGUAAACCAAUGUUUCCUUUAGUUCCUGUGCCAUCACUCCCACAGGUCUUACAGCAGGUUCAGUAAGAACUUCAGGCCAAGUGUGUAUUAAAACAAGUAGAUGGUGGCUACAAAACAUAUAAUAAAUUUUGGUUGCACUACAAGGAACCCUGUGUUCAGUCACAGGGCACAGCUGACUAUUCAGGAAGUCUUCUUUAGAAAGACACAGCUCUUCUCCUUGGCUGCUCACACAUAUGCCUCGUGUGUGUUCCUCAGAUGACACUGGAGCACCUGUGAGUUUGCAGCUCUCCUGCCACUGCCCGUUUCAGUUUAAGUCAGGCCCGAGUUGCUCUGAGCCAUGAAGUCAUUAGUGAGUGUUCACUCCCCACACAGCCAGGGCUCCACCAGCCUCCUCCAUCUCCUGCUCCUGCAGAGUUCGUUGGCCACUCUUUUCACUUCAUUACCUCCUGCAGUCAGGGAGGAACAAUCUGUUGAGAAACUUCCUUUUAAUCAGGCUCAAGUAUUGGGAUAUGGUCAUUUGUAUAGAAAUUCACCUGGAUGGUGGCGUGGGUCCUCGGGGGAACUGCUUUGGAACACAAGCACUUCUUUUCCAUGAAAUAUCACUGGAUCUUGCUGCAGUCAGUGGGAAUAAAAACAAGUGUGUUUAACAAGAUGUCACAAACCAUUCCCAGGCUGUCACAGCUUUCCAACAUUUUCCAGUGGAUUGUUAUUACCAGAUCCCUGCAAGUCUGCAGCAAACGAUGCCGCCUCUGACUCUGCUCAUCCUGCUCCACUGAUGACGUGAGCUGUCAGACUGGAAACUCAGAAUUGUCAAAUAGCUGUAAUUUGCAGAUUUAGUAAAAGAGCUUAACAUUCCUUUGAGUAAAGUACUUAAGAGAUGUAUUCCGUGGGAUUUAUGGGCUGUGAAGGUCUGUGUGGUUUUGGGAUCUCCAUAGGACAGCUCGAGUGUCAGUAAAGCAGAUUUGGCCUAAAUCAGAGACUGCCAUUAGAUGUGAGCUUAUAUCCCACUGAAGGAAUUUCCACAGGGACUCUGCUAGCAAGUCUGAAAACAGCCAUUUGGAGGAUUUGCUUUUCUAGAUACCUACUGGAAUCACAUGCAUGUUUAUUUACUGGAACUUGACUGCUUCCCAGCAGACUAAAUAACAGAAAGUUUAGGGCCUUCAAUUAAAUUAAACAAAUCCCACAAAAUAAUCAAUAAAACCCACUUUUUUCUUUCAGCUUCCAGAGCUGAUCAUCCACUAGAAUGUAGUUUUUUAUGGCUCCCUUUUGUUUUCAUGAAUGUUAUUUGCAUUUGACUUGCUGUCUUUGAUUCCUGGACCAUUUCCAUCAGGAAAUAAUUUCAGUGCUGCAGCCCAGCCUCUAUUGUUCCCUUUUCACUGGACAUACUCAGUACAUUACUACCAGGGCUCGAUGGUGUGGCAUUUCCUGUAUGAAUGAGGAGUUGUGAGCAUUAUUCACCUGGGAAUUACACAGAGACACCUCCUGAGGGAAGAUACGAAGUGUUGGAAACACCCCACACCAGCACAUGCUGGACACAGUUGUUGUGCCAAUAAAUUCUUCCCAGCUUUGCUGCCACUGCAUCAUGGAAAUAUCCAGCUAUAUCUGGCAGAAUUAAAGUAAUUCACGUACAAACCUAGGACAGGACUUGCACAAAGUCUUGGGAAUAUUUAAGCAACUUUCAGCCACUUUUUGGUACAACGUAUUUUGAUUAGAGAAUUCAUUAACUACUUGAAAUUCCAACUACCAGUUUUGCUGGGAGCAUAGCAACUAUUAAAAACCCCACCUAACAGGCUAAAUCAUGCUCUUCAGGAGGUAACCUUUUAGCCAUGGAGUUCUACAUUUGGUGACAGAAGGUUUCUGUGGUCAGCUGGAGAUUCCUAACAUCAAAACUGGUAAGAAAACAGAAGACAAUGCAAUUGCUCCACAUGUUGCAGCAGCACAGCACCCAAACACACCUUGAGCAGCCAGGUUUCCUCUCUGCAGCAGCACUAAGCAGUGCUCUUGCAAACACUGAUUUUUAGCAGAUGUGGCAUUAAAAUGGAUCUUUCCAUGCUGUGGCAAUCGUGUGCACUGGCUGCUGUCUGCAAAGCUCCCUGAGCAUUCUGGAAGCACAACUAACUCACCCAGACAUGCUGCUGAAAAUGAGACACCUGGAGAACCCCAGUGACACCUGAGCCCAGCACAAAAGAACCACCUGGAGCAGGCUGUUGGAGCGGAGGCUGUGACACAGCUCCUCAAGCAGCAUUUCACUGAACAAACCUCUCCCUGCAAGGCUGUGGCUACAGAUGUGCAAAGGCAGCACAGGAGCCUUCACAGUGUCCCAUUCCACUGAGGUCACCUUUGGAAGCAGCACCUCUCCACAGAACACAUGGGACAAAGCCCAGCCCUAAGACUGAAGCUGCUAAUGCUUCCUCUGGUUUAUAGACAGGAAAUGUUUUAGGGAGAAUUUAAGUUUUAGGAAUUACAGCCCCAAUAAGGGGAGAAGGAAGAUGAGGCACAAGGUAAGGUCGUGUCUAGGGAGGAGAGAUCAGCUCACACACGAAGCCCAAGGGGCCGCUGCACACGCCCGCUGCCAUGCAGGGCCCAGGUUAGCGCUCACUGUUGGGAGUGAAGGGAUUGAAUGGACAAAAUCUUCCUUCUCCACUAACCCAUGCUCACCACUCUGCAUUUCUCUUCCUCUGACAUUUACCUACUGUAAAAUAAAAUAUCGGGUUUUUUUUAAAAAAAAGUCUCUGUACUGUACAACAUCAGGUCAUUAAUUUUUACCCUGUAGACUUCAGAAACAUUGUGUGUGUGUGUAACCAGCAUAGUCCUUGUGUGGGCUUUGAAGUGAAGCAAUUUCCACAAGGCAGAAGGAACAACUCCAGCCUAAAAUACUUGUGCCUUGUGCUCUUCCCCCUCUCUUGUAUCCUGCCAAGUAUCCUACGUUCCUGCAAUCACAAGUAGCAGCAUCGACACGCGAUAGCACUCAUCACCUUUUACAGAUUCUGCAAACACUGUUUUCCCCAGAGAACAUUCCCUUGUUUUAAUUGUAAAUAAGCUGAAUCUUUUAUCUGUGUUCUUCAAAAGCCAGGAAGAUUAUGAAUUCACUGAAGAAAUAAAGAUUUUUACAACUCUGUGAGGAAACACAUGAAGAUGUAUUUCCAUGUUUUAAAAGCUCACGGCCCAUUCCGUAAUUCCUCCAUUGCUGUUUUUGAAUGGUUCCCUCCCAACUACAGACUGACCUUCACAUUCCAUUUUCUCUGACAAGUGUAAUAUGGAAACCUUUCAUCUGUUCAACCUCACUUCUCUAUAUAUUUGUUGGUGUGUGCACAAGGCCAGUAAAAUCUUCAGCUGACACUUGCAGAGCCCUGCACAAGGCACUCAAAGACACCCCACCACCUGAUGUAUUCUGCUCCAGGCUCUUUAUUCCAUUCCAUAAUGGAGGGGAAGAACUUGUCUCCUUUUCCCUCUCCAGCACAAGGCUGAGAGCUCUACAAGUUUAUGUUGGUGUUUAAAAUGUUUUACUUGACAAUAUUAUAAAGGGCAUUAGAAACUGGAAAUUAAUGUGGGGGAGCUGAGCUGUUACGUGACUCUUUCAGCUUUGGGGACGCUGUUUUAAAUUCUGCCCAAAAACACCAGUAAAGCAUUUUGGCUCUUUUUCUUUUAACUAAUAAAUCCACUGUGCCAUUUAGUACAACUGACAUUUCUCAUCUGAAGGAGAUCCCACAGCCCAGUCUGAAGACCUGCCUCUGGAGAAGUCCUCUCUCGACAUUUCUGCUGGAUUUCCAGGUUGAGUUGCCUGAGUUUAGUCCCAAAAUCUGCAGAAGGGUCAAAGGUUACCUGAGAGGAAUUUAAGACAGUUUUCAAGAACCAUUUUGAGAUUUUCUUAUAGAGACAUCAUAUUUAUCCACUAAAGUCAAGUAGUAGAUGAAUUCUAUCUGUUCUACACAUUAUUAUAGAUCUAUCUACAAUUUGUCUCUUGUCCUUCCAUCCAUGACGUGGCCAUUCCAUUAAUGUCAAUAACAUUUAUGGAGCACUCCUGCACUGUACCAUUACAGGAUUUAAAGGUAGAACAAAUGAACACUCAGAAACGGCAGCUGAAAGUUCAUGCAGUCAGACCUGCAACACCCCAGGCUGCUCUAGGAUCUCCCAUCAUCCAUCCAUCCUGCACCACGCCCUGUGCACAACCACACAGAGCUCAGUGACAGCAGGACAGUGGCUGUUGUGGCUCAGAUUAAUACAGUGCAGUAAAUAAUAAAUAAAUAAAUAAUAAAUGUUUCCUGCAUUCUGCUUUGAUAAUGAGCUACAGCUGCAAUUAGAAAUCCAGUCAGUGAUUACACUGUCAUGUCAAGGGUUCAAGCAGAUUCUUAAAACUGCUCUACUUUGAGCACACAUGAAGAGUUUACAUUUAUAAAAACACAGUGUUUUAAAGCAAGAAACAGUCAGGCUGCUCACCAGCAUGUUCAUUCCCAUCAGGGGGAUGCAGCCAACACAAGCUCUUCACCUGCUUUUGCAGCUCCACACACAAAUGCAGGGGGUGUGAAAGCUGAGUGGGGCAGAAUCCAGGUGUGAUGCAUGAACUCACUCCUGAUGGAUCACCUGGAAUCCUGUCACCUUAUGCCAACCCACACCCCGGGACUGGUUAUGUGCUCCACUGGCACCACCAAGCACCACAACAAUUGCUGAAUUAAGACUCACAUUCCAUAGCAGUGACUGUUUCCUCUGGGAAUUGCUGCAGAGCUGGAAGAGCCGUUGUGACAGGACAGCCACUUCUAUUCACAAAGAUAAAUCCUUUAUUUAGUAAGAAUUAUCUACACACAGAUGAAGCACAGGAGUGGGGUAAGAAGUCUUCCAGCAGAAGUGUUACACAAUCUCAUCUCAGCUGAACUUUCAGUGUUGUUCUGGAACACAUCCCCUUCCUGUACAAUGUAAGUUUUACAUUUCCAUUCUGAAAAGGAAUGUGAACAAAAGCUCAGUGUUGAGAGAUGUAGGUAACUAUACCUCCAUGGAACAGAAGAGCUGAGAUAACCUGAGGGAUCAUCUGCAAGGAGUAAGCUUUCAACAUCCACUUGGAAAAAGCACAACCUCCCUGCCAAUAACUCAUUAAGUUUCCUAACUUGGAGGUUAAAAUAGCCCAGAUUUUGUGUGCUGUGAGUUGAUAUCCUGAGCCUAGAAAGUUUUUAAUGGAAAUUAGGAUUGAUUUCUCUAAGUUCACAGUUAACAGAUCACUACACGCUGCAAGCAGCAGUCCCUUCUUGAAGUCCAUUUUUUACAAACAUAUUUCCUCUAAAAACAGAAAGUGAAGAGGAAAAAAAAAAUGUAUUUUUCUACUCUAAAAUUGCAGGCAAAGAUUUUAUAAUGGGAGUAGAUAACUUGCAUUUUGAACAACAACCAGCUACGAGUCCAGAAUAUGAAAAGCUGCUGUUUAGAAAAGGGAUGUUUCAGCUUGCAGCAGAGCAGAAUUACCAAGAUCCACUGAGGCUGGGAGAGAGCCCCCAGAUCAAUCUGUUUCUGUGAGAAUUGUAAGGCUUUUCUGAGAGGUGCCAGGCAGACUGUCCCAAGGGUCAGCGAGGCUCUCCAAAACCACUAUUCUCCCAUUCAGUGCUUUAAACAUCUGCUUCAGUGGUGACACUUUGGAGUCACAGUACAGGAAUAAAAAUUCAACAUUUAAAUGACCCCCCCCAAAAAAAAAAAAAAAAAAAA